rnacentral:lncRNA from 1 species
AGGAGAUUCAGAGCAUAUCUAAGAUGGGUUUACGUGGACCAAUCAAAUCUAUGCAAAGCUGGUAUAUCUUGGUCUGUGUUUUUCACUUUGGCUUACGUUGUACCUAUUCUGUCUCACUUUUUACUUGAUUGUUCGACAACGUGUGAUGCUGAUCAUCGUAGACCGUACCAUGUUCCUGUUCAGAUUUCUCUUUCUGUCUUUGCUACUUUGUCUUUUAUUAGUCUCUCCAAAUGGGAUCGUAAAUAUGGUUUUAGUAAGUUUCUUUUUCUUGAUAAAGUUAGUGAUGAGAGUCUCAAGAUUCAACGUGGCUAUGCAAUUCAAAUGAAGGUUUGUGUUUUUUUCUUCUUCUAUUUGGUGUUUUUUGUUUGAAUUAUACGAAUAAUUGUGAAGUAUAUGCCGUUUAAUUUUGAUGUAUGCUUAGAAACAAAUUAGAUGAACAAUGAAUUUUGUCAUGGAUGCCUUGUGUAAUUUUGUCUGAAUUAUAAGAUUUUUUCAAAUUAUUAGCGGUGUCCGUAUCUAUGCUUCAUAGGUUAUAGGAAAUUUGGAAAAUAUUGACACAAUUCAAUGUUUUUGCCCAAAUUGGAAAAGAGAAGAAUAAUAAUAAUUGUAUGGAUUAUAUGGUUAAUUUGGUUAUUUAGUUCUGCUUAAGAGAAAAGAAAAAAAGUGUUACAUCAUUCAACGAGAUACACAACUCUAACUGAAAUAGAAAUCAUAACUUAUUCUCUUGUUGAGCAAAAUAAAUUUGUUUCUAUUAUGCAGAGAACCAUGAAGCUCAUCUUGCUUUGGGGACUUCCCUGUUUCAUAUGUCAAUGUGUCUACAAGAUAUGGUGGUACAUCUCAGGAGCAUCCCAGAUACCAUAUUAUGGUGAGGUAUAUGUGAGCGGCAUUAUUCUGUGUACGUUGGAGCUAUGUUCAUGGUUUUAUAGAACCUCAAUUUUCUUCUUGGUAUGUGUCCUCUUUCGACUCAUCGGCUACCUUCAAAUACAAAGACUAGAUGAAUUUGCUCCUGUUUUUCAAAGAGAAACUGAGGUGGGAACAAUCUUGUUGGAGCACCUGAGAAUAAGAAGGAACCUACGUGUCAUUAGCCAUCGUUUUCGAGCUUUCAUUUUGUCGUCUCUGCUUUU